rnacentral:ncRNA from 1 species
CAAUGGUUUCCGAAUCACAUUUCAGUGAGAAAGAUUAAAAGGGAAUCCUGUGAAAAUCAGGAACUAUCCCCGUAGCUGUAAGUUUUGCUCCUGCAAAGGAGAAAUGUAGUAACUGUCAUAUACCACUGGUCUCAAGGCCGGGAAGGUGUUACUACUGAAACAAGUCAGAAGACCUGCCAUUUCAAUC